AGUGAACGCUGGCGGUAGGCUUAACACAUGCAAGUCGAACGGCAGCACAGUAAGAGCUUGCUCUUACGGGUGGCGAGUGGCGGAUGGGUGAGGAAUACAUCGGCAUCUACUUUUUCGUGGGGGAUAACGUAGGGAAACUUACGCCAAUACCGCAUACGACCUACGGGUGAAAGCAGGGGAUCUUCGGACCUUGCGCGAUCGAAUGAGCCGAUGUCGGAUUAGCUAGUUGGCGGGGUAAAGGCCCACCAAGGCGACGAUCCGUAGCUGGUCUGAGAGGAUGAUCAGCCACACUGGAACUGAGACACGGUCCAGACUCCUACGGGAGGCAGCAGUGGGGAAUAUUGGACAAUGGGCGCAAGCCUGAUCCAGCCAUACCGCGUGGGUGAAGAAGGCCUUCGGGUUGUAAAGCCCUUUUGUUGGGAAAGAAAAGCAGCAGGUUAAUACCCCGCUGUUCUGACGGUACCCAAAGAAUAAGCACCGGCUAACUUCGUG
rnacentral:rRNA from 1 species